rnacentral:rRNA from 1 species
AGAGUUUGAUCAUGGCUCAGGACGAACGCUGGCGGCACGCUUAACACAUGCAAGUCGAACGAGAGAAGAGGAGCUUGCUUUUCUGAUCUAGUGGCGGACGGGUGAGUAACACGUGAGCAAUCUGCCUUUCAGAGGGGGAUACCGAUUGGAAACGAUCGUUAAUACCGCAUAACAUAAUUGAACCGCAUGAUUUGAUUAUCAAAGAUUUAUCGCUGAAAGAUGAGCUCGCGUCUGAUUAGCUAGUUGGUAAGGUAACGGCUUACCAAGGCGACGAUCAGUAGCCGGACUGAGAGGUUGAUCGGCCACAUUGGGACUGAGACACGGCCCAGACUCCUACGGGAGGCAGCAGUGGGGAAUAUUGCACAAUGGAGGAAACUCUGAUGCAGCGAUGCCGCGUGAGGGAAGAAGGUUUUAGGAUUGUAAACCUCUGUCUUCAGGGACGAAAAAAGACGGUACCUGAGGAGGAAGCUCCGGCUAACUACGUGCCAGCAGCCGCGGUAAUACGUAGGGAGCGAGCGUUGUCCGGAAUUACUGGGUGUAAAGGGAGCGUAGGCGGGAUCGCAAGUCAGAUGUGAAAACUAUGGGCUUAACCCAUAAACUGCAUUUGAAACUGUGGUUCUUGAGUGAAGUAGAGGUAAGCGGAAUUCCUAGUGUAGCGGUGAAAUGCGUAGAUAUUAGGAGGAACAUCAGUGGCGAAGGCGGCUUACUGGGCUUUAACUGACGCUGAGGCUCGAAAGCGUGGGGAGCAAACAGGAUUAGAUACCCUGGUAGUCCACGCCGUAAACGAUGAUUACUAGGUGUGGGGGGACUGACCCCUUCCGUGCCGCAGCAAACGCAAUAAGUAAUCCACCUGGGGAGUACAACCGCAAGGUUGAAACUCAAAGGAAUUGACGGGGGCCCGCACAAGCAGUGGAGUAUGUGGAUUAAUUCGAAGCAACGCGAAGAACCUUACCAGGUCUUGACAUCGUAUGCAUAGCUCAGAGAUGAGUGAAAUCUCUUCGGAGACAUAUAGACAGGUGGUGCAUGGUUGUCGUCAGCUCGUGUCGUGAGAUGUUGGGUUAAGUCCCGCAACGAGCGCAACCCUUACUGUUAGUUGCUACGCAAGAGCACUCUAGCAGGACUGCCGUUGACAAAACGGAGGAAGGUGGGGAUGACGUCAAAUCAUCAUGCCCCUUAUGACCUGGGCCUCACACGUACUACAAUGGCUGUCAACAGAGGGAAGCAAAGCCGCGAGGUGGAGCGAACCCCUAAAAGCAGUCUUAGUUCGGAUUGUAGGCUGCAACCCGCCUACAUGAAGUCGGAAUUGCUAGUAAUCGCAGAUCAGCAUGCUGCGGUGAAUACGUUCCCGGGCCUUGUACACACCGCCCGUCACGCCAUGGGAGUCGGUAACACCCGAAGCCUGUAGUCUAACCGCAAGGAGGACGCAGUCGAAGGUGGGAUUGAUGACUGGGGUGAAGUCGUAACAAGGUA